rnacentral:pre_miRNA from 1 species
AAUGUUUGAUGCCAUUGACUUUUUAUCACAUGUUUGACCGUUUGUCUUAUUCAAAAAAAUUAAGUAAUUAUUAAUUCUUUUCCUAUCAUUUGAUUCAUUGUUAAAUAUAUUUUUAUGUAGGCAUAUAAUUUUACAUAUCUCACAAAAGUUUUUAAAUAAGACGAACGGUCAAACAUGUGCUAAAAAGUCAACGGUAUCAAACAUU